GGCCGAGGUAUAUCACACUAAGGAGUCAUACACACAUGUUUACAUAAGUGAGAAAGCUAUUAAUGUCAACAUUGUACAAUUUACUAUGCUUGAAUUCAUCCAAAAUUAAUAAGUAAUUAAUCCUACAAAGUAAUAAACAAUGAAUAUAUCAUAAGAAAGGCAUGUUAUCACUGGAACAAGACAAACCGCUUGUUAUCACUAUUAAUCAAAUAGUUGACCGUAUGUUGACAAUAUGCAACUUGAAACGAGAAUCAUUUUUUAGCAGAAGAAAAGGUAAAAUUAAUGGCAACACAAUUGGAUAUGAAAAUCCAUGUAAAAUCACAUUUUGGCUUUGCAUUAAUGGAAAGAGCAACUAAACAUGAAUUGAGAUUUGAAAACAAAAGCCAUAUUUCGAAUGAUCUUAAAGAUUAAACUCCAACAGAACUGAAAUUUGAAAAUCAAUA
rnacentral:lncRNA from 1 species